ensembl:lncRNA
CUUCUUUGUCCUCAACAGUCAGUGGGAAGUGGUAACUUCCUAGUGACAUUCAAAGAAGUCCCAGCAGGUGACUUUGUGCUUCGCAUAAGAGGAGAGGACAGCAGCUCCACCUCGAGGUCAAACCCGGGCAGCUUCCAGAGACAAGCCUCCACUCAGAUCAAGACCUCCAGCAUCUCUGUUAUUUCCCAAGCCAACAACACCAACAUAGAACCAGGCUCCACCAUCUCCGUCCCUUUCACAGUAGCCACAACCACUAACGGAGUUGUUAACGACUCUGCAACCGGGGUGUUCACAGUGCGAGCCAACAACGACCGCAGCUAUACUUCAACUUCACCCAACACCGUCACCAUAGUGGCGGACAGUGGAGGCAAAGCCAACGGCACCGUGACCUUAACAGCACCGCCCAGUGCUGCAUCAGGAACAGACGUGACCCUUACCAUUGAGGCAGAAAAUGCAGCUGACAUCAACUACGCUGUCCUCAGGUUUUCUGUGGUUGCCAAGGUGACAGAUAUUACCCGCCCAGUGUGCCAGGUAGUCAGUUUAUCCACCAGUUGUCCGUCCUCUGCAUCGCUCUGUGCUUCCUCCCAGUGGAAAUUCAUUGCUAAUCUCACUGAUGGCAUCAAUGGAACUGGCAUUGAUAGCGUCACCGUCCGUCAAGGGAACGGUACCCUGAAUACCAGCACACUGGCUGGAGAAGGGGGUGUCAAUGUCACUGUGGCUACCUACAGCGCCUCCUGCUGUUCACAGAAUGUAGAGCUGGCUACUGUGGACAAAGUAGGAAAUGUGGGGAAAUGUGUGGGACAGGCUAGAGAUUCUACCACAGCAGCCCUGACAACUGCAACUACAGCUGCAGUUAACACAGCAGGGCACACUGUGAGUUUAUCACAUUGUCUCUGGAUCAGUGUUGUGGUUUCUCUUCUAUGGAAGUAAAAAGGGAUACAUGAAAUAUGAAGCAAUGAUGUCAAAUUAAUUUGGAGGGGAAGCACAUGAAUCAAGUAUCCCAUCAGAAAGUCUUUUAUAGCUUUGAUUUAUUUUCAUCAGGUGUGUUGGAAUCACCACUGCUUGAAGAAACGUUUUGUUCUUUACAUUUGAAUGAAAUCAUGAUUACCGACAUCUCGUUGAUUAACUGAUAUUCAUUUCUUAAUGCAAGAAUAUAUUUUUAAUUCAAUUUUGCUGGGAAAAAAAAAGUUGUUACUUAGAACGAUUUAUUUGUAUUCCUGGUGGUGUGUAGAUUUGCUGCAGGCAUUAUAGCUGAGUGGUGAUGCUAAUGUGUAAGUGCCUGAAGCUGUCUUGCUGCAACGGCUGCUAGAUACCAGACUAAACUCAAUGGAAAGAUCAAAGUCCUUUAAACUCUCUCUUACAAAUAAUAAGGAAUAUUUUUCAAAAUGUAACUUUAGGAUUUCGAUAGUUACAUUUCUUCCAAUGUGUAUCUUGGUGGCGGAGCUAUUCAAUUUAAAAAUAAGUAUUGUUUUGAUGGUGGUGAGCAAUAAAUUGAAUUCUUGACAACUUCCCUACAGAAACCUACACCUGACAUCAGACAUGCAUUAUUGCCGGGACGUAACUUUUUAAUUCUGAUAUAGGUAAACACUGUUAUAUACCAUCGAUCUGUUUUGCAGGAAAUAUUGUGAGGAAUUUAGUUUCUUGGAAGUACUUAAGGUAGUUUCUGUAUUUUGUGUUGUUGUCUAUGAACUACUUACAGAACUGGUUCGAAGUCUUGAACGGUGUUGAACUCUUUAGGAAAAAGGUGAUGUGUAUAUUCAUGCGCCCAUUAAAGUUUAGCGACAGUUUUGGAUUUAUU